UUGAGUCCAUAUUAGAGCCAGUGGUGA
rnacentral:piRNA from 1 species